UGUCCUAAAAGUCCCUAACAAUUUUACCAGUUCCUUCCUGCAGCCCCUAUUAAUGAGUGUCAUAGCUUAGCAACAAUCAUCAUUUCACAUUAAAUGUACAGUUAAGCUAAUGUGGUGGAAUGAUCUCCAUGUCAGAAUCUCUUAAUUUCUUUUUCUUUCCUUCACACAACUACAGACCAGAACCAAAUGCUCAAAGAUCCUUCUUACAUAACUAAAGGGAGGAAGUAAGAAGCAUUGGCUCUACUACACGGAAUGCAGAGGAAGUUCUUCUUUGAUUAAAGUCUUCUGAAGUUAGUGCUCUGCCCUACUAAUAUUUUAACUUCAAUCAAUUCCCCUCAAAAGCAAUACUUAUCCACUGUACCUAUCAAAAAAACUGUGAUGGAUAUGAUGAAGAUUUUUUAUUAAAUGUUUGAACGAUGUUUGCCGUCUCCAUCUCCUCAAUGUAUGACUUAAGGUACAUGGACUGUCUUGUUUCUGCUUUGGGGAAUUGUCAUCCUGCUUUCCAGUUUUGAUCAUCUUCAAACAUUUCAUCCUUUGUACUUUCAAUGUCAUGAAAUACCUCUGAGAGUUCUUUUAAAGUGAAGAUGUCUCUUCCUCUAGGACAGCGUUAUUCCUUUUGUCACAACCUCUUUAUGUUAGAAAGUUCACCUUCAGGAAGGUCCUCUGUCUGCAUGUCUAUAAUCACUCAGAUGGAACCAGUGCCAAUCACCUACAGUCUACUAUGUCCUCAAGAGUUCCACAGGUGUUCAUUCAAUCUGCUGCCAUUGUUGCAUUUUCAUCUGUGUUGGCCAGUUGAUUUUUCCCUUGUGUAAAAUGCAGAAUGGGUCUGUCAAUGGGAGACCCAUUUCCCUGCAAAAAAUGUCCUCCACUCCAACCACUAAUCUAAAAGGAAACACAAUUACAUUUUGCUGUGUAUGUGAACUGAAAGCAGAUGGGCUAACAAAUUUUGGAAGAAGUCACAUAAUUGGUCAGUGAUCACAAUGCAUGUCUUAUAUUUGCAUAAUGAGUGUGUAAUAAAAAGCUAAUAAGGAGUUUGUACUGUGUAAUAAUAAUUCAUGUGUUACAACUGAAAUUUGAAGCAUGUUGUUGGAAGACUGUCUUAACUAUAGUCAAUGAAAUUCAUACAUGUAAGAACUAUGUAAAUCAAGCACUGACUUAAUAUAAACAGAAAUUAUGUAUUUAUUCAUUCAUAAGGAUUGAUUUUUUUGGAAACAAAUGGCUCAAUGGCUCCUCUUUCUACAUUUAGUUAAAAAAAUAAGAUAUAAUGUUAGGCGCCAUCCUGACUUGUUUACAGACCUUAACAAUAUAAAACUAGAAAAAUACUAGAAUCUGAUGAAAGAUCAUUCCCAUAUACAUCUUUGUAUAUUACUUUAUCAAACCAUUUAUAUAGUAUUUACUGGGCCAUGAAUUUUUCUAAGAGCUUAAAAACAUCAUCUAAUUAAAUCAUCUUGACAAUGAGGUAGCUACUAUUAUUUUUCCCUCUUAAAGAUAAAGAACUAAGAAUAGAGAAGAUAAGUGACUUGCAUACACAGCUUGUAAGUGGAAGAGCAAGAUUCAAAACCAGGAAGCCUAGCUUUGGAUAACGUGCUUUCAACCACUGCACAAUGCUGUCUUGUGUUGCUAAUUGGCCUGUGUUGCUAAUUCUGCAAAGUAACACAUUGCCAGGUUAUUGAUCCUGCUGGUAGAGUGAAGUCUAUCUCAUUUAUUAUUGUCGUUUAUGACCAUAGAUUUAAAAUUCAAUACAUAAAGCUGGGAGUAUCUACCACAAAGAUUACUAAGGCUCCACAGAGCUUAAGAGAAAAGUUAUUUCUUUAUUUCAGAGAAGUCAUAAAGCAAAGGGAAUUUUUUGAAGGAAAGGGACUGCAGUUACUAACAUCCCUUAGAUUUUCAAGCAAAUGGUUCAGAAGGUUAGAAGGCUGGGGCUCUGAGCAUGAAGCUCUUCGUGAAUGUGGGGACAUAGAAAGCAGAAAUUAUAAAAUCAGCCAAAUAUUUACCCCACUUCCACCCAUCUUACAAAGGUCUCUUUAAAGAAAUAUUCAAUUAAAUUCUAUGGAAAUUUAAAUGGCAUAAACUUGAGUUUUCCCUGCAAAAGCUGUCCAUCCCUCCAACCACUAAUCUAAAAAUUACAAAAAUAAAUUUAUUGACCCUGACAAAUAUAUUAGGAAGAACUAUACCCAUUAAGAAAAAACUGAUAGAACACUAAUACUUCAAAAAUAACCAUUUCUCUUUUUUAAUAAAAGUCUGUUUGUAGAAUAUUAGUAAUCAAAUAAUUUGAUUUGAAUCAUUGGAGUUCCAGUUAAAGAUUAUACUCGUUGUUUAUUUUAAAAUCUUCUUGUGUUUCAUUGCCAUUUCCUGAAUGUCUUCUUGAUGCCUAGCAACUGCCAAACCUUUCAUUUUCAGUGCUAUUCCUUUUUUCUUUGUUAAGCAAAUAGAAGAAAAAUGUCAAAAAGGUCUACAGGUUGUUACUACAAAUAAAUUAUUUCAUAAAAAAAAUAUGGUGACCUAGAAUAUGCCAUUCAUGAAGGUAAGGUCUCAGAGAAGAGCACAGGAACUAAAGUGAAAAGAUAGAUUUGCAUCCCAGGCAGGUGAAUCAACUCAUGUGGGUACCAGCUUCCACUAAGAAGCAAUAGUUGAGCUAAUAAUCUCUACAUUCAUUUUUGUUGAAAAUUUGAAUAAUACUAAAAAAAUGAAAGUAAUCUUUUACAAUGAUCCCUAACACUUGUGCUCCAUUUGACCGGUUGGUCUUCAAUGUUGGUUCUCCUUUUUUAUCUUCCUGACAUUACGCAAAACCAUUUGGAAACCAAGAUUUGUGUAUGUCCUAAGGAUGUUCUUUAUCAACUAUUGGAACUGGACUCAGAAAGUAGAAGAAAAGAUUCCAAGACAAGUAGACCUGCUCCUGUGCACCUCUCUGUGACCUUAUCUUCACAUAUGGCAUAGUCUAGGUCAUUCAUUUUGUUUUUGAAGUAAUUUAUUUUUAGGCCACCAAAAAACAAAACAAAACCCUGCAGUCCCCAUUAGAUCAUGGCCCUCAAUGCUUUCAUGUUUCCAUUGGCUUCCUACCUGUCUCAGAACAAAAUACAAAAAUUUUAAUCCUAGAAAAUCCAAAAUCCAAAAAUUUUUAACCUACAAAGCCCCAAGCCAUCUCUCUUCCACAAUCUUCUCUCCAUUCAUGCUGCUCUCCAUGCUCACUGGCCUCCUUCAGGUUUUCACCUUUAUCAGUUAAGCUCACAUCCAUCUCACUGCUGAAGCCUAGGACAUUCCUCAGGAUGUCCCCUUCUUAUCCUCCUAGCAUCACUAAAAGGACACCUCUUCCUCUUCAUAGAAGCCUUCCCUAGCCAGCUGACCUAAGGAAAUUUUCCUUGGUUAAUCUCUAUUACUUAGCUUGAUUUAAUUUUUCUCUUUUCAUUCAUUCACUUGCAUACUCUCUCCUUUAUGCCAUACAAGAGGGUAAGCCAUGUGAAGUCAGGAAUCUUCUCUUAUUCACACAUAUGUUCAAGUAAUAGUACCUGAAAAUGGCAGGCACUAAAUGAAUAACCAUAUACUACUCACCAAUAUGUCACCAUGUGCUUGGUAUGUAGUACAUUUAGUAAAUAGUUGGGAGUUUUUUCGUUUUUAUUUUUGUGGUGCUGGUGAUAGAAUCCAUGGCCUCACAUGUGUGAAGCAAGUGCUCCACCACUGAGCUGGAUCCCCAGUCCAGUUUCUUAAUGGAAAUAAAUAAGUAAAGUUACUCACCAUAACAUUAGUAUUGGUAUGAAUUAUUUAUUAUUGUGUAUAUUGAUUUACAAUUGCUCCUGUAACAAUUUUGGUGGCAUAAAGCAACACAAAUUUCUUUCUUUACAUUUCUGGAGGUCAGAAGGUUACAGAAGUCUUACUGAGCUAAAAUCAAGGUAUCAGCAAAACUUCAAUCUGUCUGGAGGCCCAGGGAGGAAAUCCUUGCAUUGACUUUUCCAGCUUCUAGAGAUUGCCCACAGUCUUAGGAUUGUGUCUCCUUCCAUCUUCAAAGCCAGCAAUGGCCACUUGAAUCUUUCUCCUGCUGCACUAUUCUAACACAAACUCUUCUACCUCCCUCUUGUACUUGUAAGUAUGCUUAUAAUUACAUUGGGCUCACAUAGAUAAUUUCUUCAUCUUGGUAUAAUUUCUCAGGAUAAUUUCAUUAUCUUGGGAUAAUUUUAAUUUAGCGACAUCUGCAAAAUGCUGUUUAUAAUGUAAAAACAUGUUCAUGGGUUUGAAGGAUUAGGAUGUAGACUGGGGAGUCUUAACACAUCAUCACUUGGUAUGAUUCUGGGAACAAACUGCCCUUAUUUUGGAUAUUCCCAUGGAAACCCCGUCUAUUAUCUUCCAAACAUGUGCUACAUGAUCAUAUUCUGGAGAAAAAUUCCUUAUAAGUAAUCUUAUGUCUUAUUUUCUCAUCUCAGGUAUAAUAUAGGAAUAAUGCUAUUUUGUAUAAAUUGAGCAAUGAGUUUAGACUACUACCCUCCUCUGGAUACAAAGAGGCUGAAAAUAAACAGACAUUGACAUCUCUGAACAGACUAAGAAUUCAUUUCUGUUGCUGGUAGAAGAUAAUUACAAUAAGAGAAAAUACAUUCCAUUCCCAUCACCAAAAUUAGAACUGCAGUAGCACUGUAUCUUGUAAAAAGAUAAAAUUCAAUGGGAGACAAGCAAAUUGCAUCAUUAUUAGAAGGAUCUAUCUUAAGAUUAGGGGGAUAAGCAGAGAGAGGCAGGAUUAUGGACUCCAAAACCUACAUUUAGCUGAGGCAAUUCUCUUCAUUUUCCUGGGAAAAAUCAGUCUAUACAAUUAAGCAAACCCAAGGGACCAACAUAUUAACUUGCCAUCAAUAUAUUCUAUCUGCCUUGGCACAGCUAGUGUUUCUGGCAUUAUUUAUGAAGGCACUCUUUCUAUAUUUGCACAGUAUGCAGCAUUGUUCAUAGCAGGUUGCAGAUUAUUGUCAAUGAAUAAUGCUGUGGAAGCUCCUAACCCUUUGUGCUUUUGUCUAACAAGUAAAUCAGCAAUAGCUGCUUCUCUGUGUUCUUCUUGAGAUUAUAGCACAGCCAUAAAUAAGCUAUCAGUGGCAGGAUCCAUUUGGCAUCAGUGACUAUAACUGCAAGACCUACAGGUUCAUAUUGUUCCCUUGUAUACAAUAAAGAAAGCUCAUCACUAAGAAUUUUUUAAGGUGAGAAACCUAAAAUAUGGACACCAGAAUUUUCUAAAAUUUCACUUUGUUUGAAGUGAAUCAUCCAAUGUUUAUAUUAGGUCUUUUAAAAGAAUUUAUCUAUAAGAAGCUUAAAAAAGAAUAGCAGAGAAAUAGAAAUUCCUACACAGUUGCUUUUCUCUAAACUAUUAUAGAUUUCAUAAAAGUAAUCUUCUACCACAGAGGAAGGGGAGAUUUUUAUCUUGACAGAUUCCAUAGCUUGUCAUAGAGCUUCAAAAGAGGCCAGUGGAUCUCAAACCUGUGUUCACAGCCCAGUUUGGUAAAGACAAAUCUCCCAGAGGAUCACCAUUCAUAACUUUCUAAAGGCCACGUAGAAACACUUCACUAAAAUUCAUGGGAACACACACAAUCCUUUUGCUAAAGCACCACAAGGUCACUGUCCAUGCAUAAUAGCCAGUUUAAAUGUGUCUAUUGAAUAUUUUUCAAAUAUAUUCAAGAAUUAGGUACCUUUUUUUCUGUGAGAUCACUAAAGGCAUCACUCAAUACAUGACUCAUAGCUUAGACAAUAUGAACAAAGCACCAUAAACACUAGAGAGAGAGAGAGCAAGAGUCCCGGACAGAGUUGAUCCAUUUGAUGUCUGCUUUGAUAAGGGACUUUGCCAUUAAAUGGCACAAGAGAGUCCCUUCCACUUUUGGACUUUACCUAGCCUCAUCAUCUUACCCAGGUAUACCGUUUUAUCCCUGGGAUCUUUAAGUUACUAUUCCUGUGAAAUCCCUGCUUCCAAAUAAGGUUGCAUUGUGAGGUUCCAGGUAGGCUAAUGUGGGAAGACUUUGUAUUUGCAUAGCCCCUAAAUCUCUCAUCUUUUUGGAUCUGCCUGGUGCCCUGGCCUUUACAAGUAAUGUAUGUAGCCUCAAGACUGGAUGCAUGCAGAGCACAGCAGAGCAAAGCAGAGCCUCCCCAUCCUGCUGGAUAUUUUUCCCCCACAUGCAGCACCAGCUCCAUGUCAGCCAGGCUUUCUCCCAGCAGAACUCCCAGGCAGAUUAAGUACCUAUGUUCUAAGGAGAUGACUCUCAGUCCUAAGGUUCCCUUCUCCUCCCUAGAGAACUCUACAAUCUUAUGCUCAGCAUUUGAACAACCUGGGGAACUCAAUUUUUUUGUUUUUGUUUAAAGUACACAUUUUUUUUUCUGACUAUAAGAUAAUGCAUUUCACUACAAGGUGAAUUUUUUAAAGGAUACAUCAGAAUAUUAAAAAGAUAAAAAUCAUCGAUCCUACCACAUAGAGAAUAACCACAACUUAGAUGCAAUCCCCAACCAUCUUUCUCAAUGAAAUAUAAAGUCCAAAAAUAACUGAGGCAUGAUUGCACAUACUGCACAUACUGCACAUAUAAAGUCCAAAAAUAACUGAGGCAUGAUUGCACAUACCCCUUGGAUCUCUGGGUUACAGACUGAAAGAGCUCAUAAACACAACUAUGACAACCAUGAAAACAGCCAAGAAUAAGAAUAUCUUUUAAGCUUCUUAUUUUCACAUUAUCUAUCCUAAUCAUUUCUUCAUGUUACUAAUCUCUAAAACAUAUUUUUAAUGAUUUUAUUUCAUGUUAUUUAUGCAUUAUAAUUUAAACAUCUCUGCAUUAUGGAUAUAUAGACCAAGUCCAAUU